GAUGAACGCUGGCGGCGUGCCUAAUACAUGCAAGUCGAGCGAAGCGGGGACGGGUGAGUAACACGUGGAUAACCUCCUAUACGACUGGGAUAACUUCGGGUAACCGGAGCUAAACCGGCUGUUUACAGAUGGUUCCGCGCUGCAUUAGCUAGUUGGUAAGGUAACGGCUUACCAAGGCAACGACACAUAGCCGACCUGAGAGGGUGAUCGGCCACACUGGAACUGAGACACGGUCCAGACUCCUACGGGAGGCAGCAGUAGGGAAUCUUCCGCAAUGGGCGAAAGCCUGACGGAGCAACGCCGCGUGAGUGAUGAAGGUCUUCGGAUCGUAAAACUCUGUUAUUAGGGAGGCGGUACCUAAUCAGAAAGCCACGGCUAACUACGUGCCAGCAGCCGCGGUAAUAC
rnacentral:rRNA from 1 species